UACGUAGGGUGCAAGCGUUUAAUCGGAAUUACUGGGGCGUAAAGCGUGCGCAGGCGGUUUUGUAAGUCUGUCGUGAAAGCCCCGGGCUCAACCUGGGAAUUGCGAUGGAGACUGCAAGGCUUGAAUCUGGCAGAGGGGGGUAGAAUUCCACGUGUAGCAGUGAAAUGCGUAGAGAUGUGGAGGAACACCGAUGGCGAAGGCAGCCCCCUGGGUCAAGAUUGACGCUCAUGCACGAAAGCGUGGGGAGCAAACAGG
rnacentral:rRNA from 1 species